rnacentral:misc_RNA from 1 species
GAAAUGCGAUAAUUAAUGUGAAUUGCAGAAUUCAGUGAAUCAUCGAGUCUUUGAACGCACAUUGCGCCCCCUGGUAUUCCGGGGGGCAUGCCUGUCCGAGCGUCAUUGCUGCCCUCAAGCACGGCUUGUGUGUUGGGCUUCCGUCCCUGGCAACGGGGACGGGCCCAAAAGGCAGUGGCGGCACCAUGUCUGGUCCUCGAGCGUAUGGGGCUUUGUCACCCGCUCCCGUAGGUCCAGCUGGCAGCUAGCCUCGCAACCAAUCUUUUUAACCAGGUUGACCUCGGAUCAGGUAGGGAUACCCCUGAACUUAAGC